rnacentral:rRNA from 1 species
AACGAACGCUGGCGGCAUGCCUAACACAUGCAAGUCGAACGAGACCUUCGGGUCUAGUGGCGCACGGGUGCGUAACGCGUGGGAACCUGCCCUUAGGUUCGGAAUAACUCCCCGAAAGGGGUGCUAAUACCGGAUAAUGUCUUCGGACCAAAGAUUUAUCGCCUUUGGAUGGGCCCGCGUUGGAUUAGCUAGUUGGUAGGGUAAAAGCCUACCAAGGCGACGAUCCAUAGCUGGUCUGAGAGGAUGAUCAGCGACACUGGGACUGAGAAACGGCCCAGACGACUACGGGAGGCAGCAGUGGGGAAUAUGGGACAAGGGGCGGAAGCAUGAUGCAGCAACGCCGCGUGCGGGAUGAAGGCCUUCGGGUUGUAAACCGCUUUCGUCUGUGACGAAGCGUGAGUGACGGUAAUGGGUAAAGAAGCACCGGCUAACUACGUG